AUAUAUAUAUAUAUAUAUACAAGGUAAUGUUCAAAUCAACGUUCCUUACUUAUAAGUGUGCGAUUUGUAAAGUCUCCGCUUAUAAAGGCCUAGUCUAAAAUCCAGCUGGACUAACCGUGGAUGUGAGUCAUGUAUUCAAUUAUUUACAUGGUGGCACAAAGCUACCAAGGCAAUCCAUACCGCUUUCUCAGAUAGAAAGCCCAGCAGUUGAAGAAAAAUUUGUCCUGGUACCGUGACGGGACCCGUGGCCAACGCAAUUCCGGGGCAGUCGAUCUACAAUCUGAGCUGCACAUCCGGCUAGCUGAUCACAAGGAGAGAGCAAAUUAUUCCGCAACUUGAGGCACAGGGACCCCGCAUAUGCUAAGUUAGGUCUGCGGGAAGCCGCAGUGGGGAAGAAUGUUAAUGAAAGAAAAUUGUCAUCCAAAUUAAUGUAGCCCGCAAGUAUGAACAGAGAACACCCAUACGUCUUCCUAAGAAAACCUUGCAUCUUCGUGUUCCUGUGCUUGAAGUUGGUAAUUUUACCUUCCCUCUGUAAUUAGAUAGCCUGCUCCUUCGCUCUGAUGGUGGAGGGAUCGCCCUAGAAAGAUGUUGGUUAUACGACCCGGACGAAUUACUCUUCCACUGCUAGUGUUUGUUUGUGAAAGACCCGCAUGUGUUUCUUUUGUAGCCUGUUGGUACAGUAGGGCGGAUGACAAUUUUCUCUUUCCCAAGUCUUGCUCCUCCUUGCGAGCUUCGGUAGAACUGAUUUGUUAUCUGCUGCCGGUUACGUAUACGUAGACCGACGUAUAAAUGAUUCAACGUAACCCCUUUUCUGUACGCUCUUUCAGAAACUUCGAUAUCAUGAAGGCAGCCGUGGCUUUCGCGCUUAUUGCCAUUUGCACUCUCCUUAUGAUGGGGAUGAAUGCGGCUAUCGCUCACGACUCGGAGGCAAGAGCCAUGGGUUCUGAAAACGAUGAGCGCGCUGAUACUGCUCAUCAAGUGUCAGGGAGACAGCUCAGCCCCGGUUGCUUGGCAUCUCUCUGUGGAUAGAACUUCCAAGGACAGCGAUUCGUUUGAAAUUGUUCCCUGCAGAAAAAACGUGUCCAAGGCGCCUUUGUAGGGAAGAGAUGUUUAGCAAUAACAUUUUCUGAAGUUGAAUAAUUCGCUUCAUGGUUCUGCAGGGAUGCUUCAUCGCGGUGUUGCAUGUACUGACAAUAAUAAAAUAAAGCGUUUAGCAAGACUGAAA